CCUUUCUAAGGAUGAUCAAGAAUUGGAAAGUCUUUAAAUAAAGACACGAACUUUAAUAAAAUAAAGUCCGCUUCCUUUUUGAUCUCAUUAGACAUAAAAGGUUUAAACAAGUCAGUUUAAACCUGAAGCAUAUGAGGCUUCCUUCGAGGUGCCUCUCGUUUAAGAGAGUGCUUCAUGAGAAGUGUUAUAUGUUAAGAUAUAUAAGCAGGCUAGCCGUCUUCGUUUCUCUUUCUUCAGAUGAUGAUCCCAAGCCUUCUGGCGAUCCGCAACAGGUUUGUUGUGAAACUUGAAAGGGGCAUUUUGAAAAAGAAUGCUUCUUCAUGCGAUAAUGCCGGGGAAGGUUUUCCGGUUUAUCCCGGAGGGCUUGUAGCUCAGUUGGUUAGAGCGCGCGCUUGAUAAGCGUGAGGUCGGAGGUUCAAGUCCUCCCAGGCCCACCAAUUAUCCAUUCAUAACCACCUAUCCAUUCAUAAAAAGAGCGCUUAUAACAUUUUAAUUUUUAACGUUUAACCGGUAGAGUUUAAAAAGACUUUUUAUUGCUUUUGAUACGCUAUGGCAUUGCUCUGUUUUUGAAAGCGAUUAAAACUAAAAGCGGUUUAAACGUAAAGGUCUUUAAAUAUGGAGAUCUUUCAACAUGAGGAUCUUUCAAUGCAGAGCUCUUGGAGCGGUAAAAUAAAGCUCCAGCUGUUAACCCCUCAUGAGUUAGAGUUAAAAUUGGGGUCCAUUAAGGUUUUCGGCGUUAAAAUCUUCAGAGAGUGAGACUUCAGUAUUAAAGUGCAAGAGGUUUUGGAUAAGUGAUAGCGUUUAGGGGCCGUAGCUCAGCUGGGAGAGCACCUGCUUUGCAAGCAGGGGGUCGUCGGUUCGAUCCCGUCCGGCUCCACCAUUUGGUCAUCAUCAUUGUUGUGAGAACACACUUUAGUAAGAGGUUUAAAAACCUUUUGCUUGUUCUAUUGAAAUUGUGAAGAGAAGAUAUAUUCAGACAUGUUCCUUUUGAACUGUUUGUUUUAAAGGCAAGGUUUUUUCUCAUGGGAAAACCUCAUGAAAAGUGCUUAUUGUCGAAGAUAUGUUUUUUAGAAAAAACAUCUCAAAAGCAGGUUUAAGAAACAAAUAGUUUUUUGUUCGUUUUAAAGCUCUCAGGAAGCCGUUUUUUAUGAAAUAGCUUUUAAGAAGCGUGAAAAGCCAUGCAACAACAUGCAACAUAAGACUAUCUCUACAGAAAAGUAUAGGUAGGCAAUGCGUUGUGUAGCAGGAAACGAUGCAAGAAUUAAAAGCAACUUAACAGUGAUUUAAAAGUAACAUUGUGUCGCAAGGGAAUGCUCAAAGCCCUUGCUUAUGAUUGGAAGCUUAACCGCGCCAUUGAAUAUAUCUCGAGAAGCUGGUCUUUUCUGCUGAUAUUCUGUUUAUUUUGCGCUUUGUUUUGCACAAGAUAAGGAAAUGCGAAUAAACGAGAAGAAUUUGCAA
rnacentral:tRNA from 1 species